UGUGGAUGAGAUCAGAUGUAACUAUGAAGAGAGUGAACUCAGAAAGGAGCUAGGACCAUACUGAGAGGAAUGAUAAUAAGAAAGAGGGGAACCAGAUGCAAACAGGAUGAAAUUGUUCAUUUGUGAUGAAGUAAAAUGCAGCCGUGGCUUUUUAGUCAUAUCAGAAGGAAACUGCAUCUGAUUUUCUCGAAAGGGAAGUUUGCAAGGUAAGGGACUUAUUGUAAAGCAGAUAAAAAAGACAUAUUUGAAUGUGUUUAAUUGAUACUUAAAUUUCAGCUUGGGUUUUUUUUUUCUUCUUUGCCCAUUUUUUACUAACAACCAAAAACCCUUCUUGAUUUCUACUAAAUCAGUCAGCAAGUAAUUAUUAAGUGUCUGCUGUGUGCUGUAAAGAUAAUUUUAGGGUUGUGACUUAAAGAUCAAGAGUUAAUUGGUCG
rnacentral:lncRNA from 1 species